AUUGAACGCUGGCGGAAUGCUUUACACAUGCAAGUCGAGCGGCAGCACGGGGGCAACCCUGGUGGCGAGCGGCGAACGGGUGAGGAAUACAUCGGAACAUGCCCAGUCGUGGGGGAUAACACUUCGAAAGAAGUGCUAAUACCGCAUACGUCCUGAGGGAGAAAGCGGGGGAUCGCAAGACCUCGCGCGAUUGGAGUGGCCGAUGUCAGAUUAGCUAGUUGGUGGGGUAAAGGCCUACCAAGGCAACGAUCUGUAGCUGGUCUGAGAGGAUGAUCAGCCACACUGGGACUGAGACACGGCCCAGACUCCUACGGGAGGCAGCAGUGGGGAAUUUUGGACAAUGGGGGCAAACCUGAUCCAGCCAUUCCGCGUGAGUGAAGAAGGCCUUCGGGUUGUAAAGCUCUUUCGGCAGGAACGAAACGGCGAGCUCUAACAUAGCUUGCUAAUGACGGUACCUGAAGAAGAAGCACCGGCUAACUACGUG
rnacentral:rRNA from 1 species